UAUAUGAGUCAUCAUCAUUACAAAGAACAACUAUUAAAAACUUGAUUUUCCGAGAAAACUGUAGUCAAUCAAGGAUUUAGAUCAUAGUAUGAAAAGAAACUAAAAAAGUCAUAAAAAGAGGGGCGUAUGGGAAGGAAUGAAGGGUGACGACGUGAGCCUAACGGACAAGUCAAUUAUAAACAAGAUAUGUUAGGUAAUGAUAAUGUAAUGCCAUGGAAUAUUGGAGGAUAAUUUUCGUUUGGAUACAAAUUAUGAUGUUGACGGUUGAUUCAUACAUGUACAAUUUUAAAUGUCCUGCGCAAGUCGAUUCGAAAAUUCGGGCGCAAAUAAAAUGUAACAGCACAUUGAAAUAUUUCUGCUUGUACAACAACGUGGCAGGGAAGUAUGUUGAGGGAUGUAAUGGACCGGACUGGGAUAGAAAAGGUAGUAAGAGAAUUUAUGCUGGUGACUUCAGCAGAGAAAAAUGUAUACAAAAGCGUUACCAACCGUUUACAUUUUGGACCAAUGAAAGUAUGAGUGACUGUAUCUACGUUAAAUCAAUCUGCAGUGAGGAGGGACAAAUUGUAUACAGGGAUAAUUCAACAAAGGAUGACAGAUCAUGCCGAUGUGAUUAUAAAAAUAAUUAUUCAUUCAUUAAAACUCCAAGAAACUUUUGUUUUUGUAUUCCAACAGAAGAAGAUUGUUCUUGUUAUGUUAAAUCAUGUCCAGGAAAUUUAACGUUGUCAGCAGAUUAUGGUUGCACACAAAGCGGUUUCCAGAAAACGCCUCAAUGUAAAAAUAUAACAAAAUAUAACAAAACCGUGGAUGAAAAAUCGGGAGUCUGCAUGGAAAAUAAACACUUGUGUUUAAGUAAAACAACUUCCGAGUUCAAGAGGAAUGCUAGAGCUGCAGCUACGGUAUUAGUUAGCCUGUUCAUCAUACUCAUGCUUGUUACAGGAGGGUUUUUCUGUGAAGUUUUCCAUGGUAAAAUACUACAACGUUUGGAUAGAUACGUUGAGAAAACCAAUACAGAUGGUGGUAAAUUGAAAGAGAGAAAAACACAGUUAGAUAUAGAAGUACACCAAAUAUCAAACAUUGCUGAACUAGCAACAGAAGAAGUUUACUUUUUACGAAUGAUUCAUAUUCUGUUCAGAGUGGCAUGUCCAGUUGUUCGAAUGAUAUUUAACUACGAGAUUCAUCCAAACCAGUUACAACAUACCCUUGAUAAAAACAAGCGACAAAUUCGAAAACACUACGGAAAAGAAGAAGAUGAUUAUAAGUCGGAUCUUUUACUUAAAUACGCCAAAGGAAAAACAGUUACAUCAGCAGAUUUUAAUAUAGGACUCAUGAUACACCUCUUACAUUUACUUGCAAACAUAGAAGUUUGCAACUUAUAUCCAUGUCCAGCUGAUACAAGUUUCAGUGCAAUGCUGUCCAGAAUUAAAUUUAUAUAUAAUGAAAUAACUCCGAUAUUUAAAGGGAAACUCUCAGAAGAUCAGUUCAAUCAAUACUGGGAUGAUAUAGGGCAGCUAAGACAUUUGAAGAUAGGAAGAAACUUGAAACAGAAAAAAACAGUCAGCAAGACAAGGUUUACAAUAAAGCAAAACGGACAAAAUCGUCAGUUGAUUUAUUUAUAGAAGUUAUUGACCUUAAUUUUUUUUAUCCGUGUUUGCCUUUUCAAAAACUGUAAUAGAUAAAGAUACUCUGGAACGUACACAAGAUCUGCAAAUGAGUCAACAUGUAUGACUGUGAUCCCAAUUCGGUUUAAUCUAAAGUUAAUGUAAAGUCAUUGUCCUUCAUUUCCCCCGGUUUUACACACCUUCCUCUAGCUUAGCUGGAGAGGAUACACUGUGUUCACAUUACUUUUUAAAUGGAUUUUAAGGUAAACAUCAUAGGUAGUACUUCAAUAAUCCGACAACACUGUUAACAGAUAUUGAGGUUAAUAAACGGGCUGCUACAAACCGUGUUUCAAAAGAAGCUACUAAUACCAUUAAAUAUACACGGUUAUCACGUGUUUGCUGUUACCCAAAAAUAUUUAUAGACGUUUAUAGGAGGCAAGAUAAAAUCAUAUACAUUAUUUCAAUCUCUGUUUUCAACUUUUCAAAUGCUAUAAAUUUUGCUAUCAAAUUUACGAUUAUUACAUUAAAAUUUGGUAAAUACAAUAAAAAUUUAAUUCAGCAGUAGUUGUCAAAGAUAAGGGCUAAAAAAUUCAUGUUGAUCAUACAAACUCACAACACUUUGACACAUUUUUGCUGCCAAUUAGUGCGACAAUUUUGCUAUUUAGGUUUUUGGAUUAGUUGGUGAGUGUUUCAGUAUUUUGAUUUGAAGUAUUUGUUUAAUUAUAUAUAUCUAACCACAAUUUUGACAAUCACGCUUUUAUAGAAGUAGAUGUAUUGCCUAAAAUUAAAUGUGAAAUUUGAUGUUGAAACAUACAUACUCGUUUGCUACGUACGGAUGCAAUACUAUGAAAAAUUAUCAGCUAGAGAAUAUUUGUAUACAUAUAUGUUUCAACAUAAAUACAAUUUGUGUAUAAUCAGAUUUAAAUGUAUGUUAACUUUUGCAUGUUCUGCUUUUGAUUUUGCUUAUUUCAUUUUUUCUUGCCUAUAUUUUUGCAUUACUAAUAUCGGUUAUUUUGGUUCUUUCCUUGAUUUAAAAAAAAUACAUCACAGUUAUCAAUUAACAUAUUUAUCUCGAAUAUUCGUCAGCCUCUGUAGAGAUGUAAAAUAGGUGUACUCAAAUAGUUGGAAUUUUACUAUAUUUUUUUCACAACUUAAACAAGACCAAUACAAGGUCCAGACCUAGGUCACUGUAUGUAAUUGAUUGAUCUUGGAUGUAAAAUGAAGCAUAACUGACCCUUCCCUUUCAUUGAAGGCAAGAGAACUUUUGACGAGCAUUUUCCUUUAACAAUGAAUGUUGUAAAAUUUUAAACCAUGGGAAAAUCGGAAGUGGCUUCAUGGUUGAUGUAAAAAUUACUUACACGCUGCUACUCAUCAUCAUUAAGCUGCAGACCAAAUAUCAAAUCAUUCCCUUACAUACAAGCCAAAAAAACUUUAACGAAAAUAUAUGUUGUGCAAUGAGUCUUCUCAAAUUUCAAACUAUCGGCAACAGGAUGUAGCUGCACUGUAGAUGUAAAAAUUGCUUACACGCCGCAAGUCAUAGUUAUUAAGCUGCAGACCAAAUAUGAAAUCAUUAAUCUUCGAUAGAGGCCAGGAGAACCUUUAGAAAAGUUUUGUAUGCAACGUCUUUCGGACGUACGUUUCGGAUUCGAAUGGUAACUAGACUAGGUAAAAAUUACUACUGGAAUCUAAUUAAUUGUUUUGUGCAAUUGUUAUAGAGAUCUUGGGAAUCAUUUGAUAUAUAAACGGGUUUUUUUCACGGUGUCGAUGGAUCUUUCUCUCCCAUGAACAUGAACAUGGUGGGUUUGGUCUGAUCAAAGCAUAAGCAGUAACUCAUGAGCCAAGACCGGUACAAAUUUCUUGAACAGACAUCCAGUAUUGACACCUUAUACAAGACAACAGAUUGUUCAAAAACACCAGAAUAUGUAGAAAUGGUAGAGGAAGUCUACAUAAUUAAACAGACUUAUAACACUCUAUACAAUAAAGCUUGAACACACAAUCGGAAAAUAAAAAAAUACAAUGAAUGGGGCAUAGUGACAUAUCUAAUGCAGCGAUUCAAAUCUGUAGUGAACACUUUCGCUGCAUUGGUGUGUCGUCGGAAAGACUAAUGUAUAUAACAAAAAAAAAUCAUUUGGUUUUUCAAGGUAUAUCUAUUGUUACGUUUCUAUAUUUUGAGAUGACCCCUUGUUUUUCGUCAACUGUAAUCAUAAGUCUUAGUAUAAUCCUAGGUAUAGACAUAGUUUCCACAAAUGUCUAUUAGGCCGUACGGUUACCCAUAGUUGUAAACUUCUAAAUCAUUUAGUCUCUGGUGGAGAGUUGUCUCAUUGGCAAUCAUACCACAUCUUAUUUUUAUAUGUCUUCCAUUCCAAAUUAUUUUCAAUAUUUUGUUUCGAUCUAUUAUGAUAAAAUAAAAACAUGUAUGCACUUAUUUAUACUCAUUCAUAGCAUGCACAGUACAUGAAUGAAAAUGCAACAUGACAUCAAUAACAAGUUCAAACAUAUCAAAUAGAAACAAAUUAAAAAAAAACCAUGAAUUUUUUCAAGAGUAUUUACAUCAACUCAUAUGCUAUGGGUGUAACAUUUGUUCUGUUAAUAACCAUUGUUGUUUUUUUUUCAAACUGGCGGUACUGAAAUUGGUGUUUUCACAAGAACUGGACAUUGAUACUGACCAAGAGAAGAUACGACUUAUCGGUAGACUCUUAGCGGUGAAUCCGAUAAAUAUUGAUAAUACAAAAGUGUGUAAAUUUAUUGAAAUGUCGGAAACGCAUCCUGCAAUCAUACUACAAAGAAUUAUUUCUGAAUAUUGCAAGUCUAAUAACAUAAAAUUAGAAGACGUAUUGAGAGAGGAAAAACACGAACUUUAUCAUAAACGAAUCAAAACAUUCUCCUGCUGUAAAUGCACCAUCGGUUGCUCUACUUACAAUAAAGUGAUUUCCGGAAAGCAGUGGGAUGCACUGUAUGAAUUGAACGAGGAUAGUGAUGUGCAUUCUUGUCCAUUAAAUUUAAGGAUCUGCAGCGAACGUUUUGUUCCAAAAAGAAUACAUACGUGUAAUUUGUCAGCGGCUAAAGUAUUGAUCCUUAAUAUACCAAAUAUUUUGAAAUAUAUGAUAAGUCGAUUAUACACAAGUGGAUUCGAUACGUUCUUGAUGCUUAACCAGCAUACAUUAUACCAUUCAAUGAAGAAAAACAGGUGUUGUAAAUGUAAACAAAUUUCUUAUGAGAAUACUGAAAAAUCAUUAAUUACGGACAGAGAAUGGACCAAUCUAUUUAAUAAAAGUGAUAUAUCCUGUCUAUCAAUUUCUAAGGAUUGUUGCUGUCAGUACUCAGUAAGAAAUGGAAUUAAUUACUCAGAUAUAGACAACAUUUGUUUGUCCAAAAUUUUUCAUAUUGCUGGACCAAUUGCUGUUCUAAAUAAAAUUGAAGAAAAUGCGUUUCUAUAUUUUCUAAAUUGGACUGUUGACGACAAACCCUUACAAAGAGCGAUAACAGAACUAUCAAACAUACUAGUCGAUCAAACAUUUCGCCGUCGAUUUUUAUCCGUGUUCUCCUCUCAGUCAGCGACAUCAAUUGAUGCACGUCGAUGGGUCUCUAGAAACUUACAUCAACAGAAGGCAACAACAGAACAACAACUUCAACUCCUUAUACGCGAUGAAGAUGGUUUGAGGGUAAAAAGUGUACAGAUCCCAAAAGAUUUUCCUUUACCUCAUAGAACUAAACAAUUCACAGAUCUGACUAGAGAAGAAAAUAAUUUCUUAGUAGUGGUUUAUGGACUAACAAAAAUUGUGUAUCCAGUAAUAAAAGAUCAUUUUGAUAGGCAAUGUCCUCAUUUGGUGUUAAACGAACUACGAUUGGAAAGCAACGAACAACAACAAACACAGCAUUGUAGAGAUGAAAAUGAAAGCAGGAAGAGCAGAAUACACUCUACCAAGAAUCAACAACAACAACUUUAUGUACGAAACAAGAACAAAUCGGAGAAGCUAGAUUUGAAAUUGAUGAUUCACAGUUUGAAACGAAGAGCCAAAGAUGCUAGACAAACAGAAUAUGUCGAUCAAUUGAACGACAUCAUGAACAUCCAAAGAGAAAUUGUGCAAAGCAAUAGCGGAGUUUUAAUCGAUACACGGUUUCAAGAUAUCUUGAAAUGCAUACGAAAGACAGUAUUGCAUUUUGGAGGAGAAUUUUAUGAGGAAAAACUAAGAAACCUUCAGCAUAUAAAAAUAUUCUAGAGUUAUGGUGACUACAAACUAAAAUUGUGCAUCAAUUUUAAUGCGAUAUUGUGUUAAAGUGUCACAGAAACAUUACAGUACGUUCAAUAAAGGAAAAGAGCAUGUUUUAUGGGUGUCAGUCUAUUUCUAUUUCUUUUUCAAUACCGAUUUCAACAAAACAAAACUUCUACAGCCAACUACAUUGUCUAGAUCGACCAUCUGGCUGUUGGACCUGUUGUCAUGACCUAUGAAAAACCUGCGAAUAUUCCACUACAAAGAUUAACUGGAGUUGCUUUUCUAUGCACAUUUUUGUUAUGUUUGCUUGAUUGUAAAUUGCUAAUCUCAAAAUUAGGUUUAUUUAGAUGCAAAGAGAUAUAAAUGAGUACUCCAAUCACAAUACAAAUACUUCGUGAAAAUUGCGUAAACAUACAAUUUUCAUAUAUUUAAGAUUUCUCUCUAUUUUUAUUCAUGAUAACAAAAUAAAUGGAAAUGUAAUGCACAGUUUUACAUCAUUUUUAUAUCAGAUGAGUGUGUAUUACACAUCUUUACAUUUAAAGUAGUCAAACGGAAAUGUGUUUAUAGUUCAUGUUCAAAUAUUUAGAUAUAAAACUCUUAUAAAAAUCACCCAAAGUGUAAUUAUCUGUUGUUUGUAUACGAAUUUAGGUUCAUUCUUCAAUACAUUGUAUUUUUCAUAUAAAUAUAAAGAUGGUACUCCAAUACAUUUUGUGCAUCUAUAUACAGGUAUAUCUAUGUAAGCUUUAAAAAAUCUGACAAGAGACAUCAGUUGUUGAGUUUGUCUGCUUUGUUUUAAAUAUGCGGGAUAUUCAAAAUUGUAUGGAAAUUCGGUGAUCACGUCGAGAUAUAGGACUAUAUCAAACACCUGCAUCUCCUGGUUUCGUAUAAAAUAGCAGAUACAACACAUCCAUUGCGACAGGUGGUGUUUCAAGUAGAGACAGGGUCAUAAUAUUAGGCAAGUUAUCUUAAUAACUUAUUUUAUGCAGACGACGAAAACCAUCAAUUUGUUUCAAAAUUUACAUUUUCCUAAUCCCUUCAGGGAACCCUGUAUUACGAUCUUUUGGCUGGUUGACCAACGGUCAGUUUCUACACAAUGUAUAGUAUUAUUACAUUCUUACUGAUCUACAGAUCGAUAAUUGGUAAACAAGAUUUCAAAUCGGAUCUUUUAAAUUGUCCCUCCCUUUAUCCCCAUUCAACACCUUAAGCUUUUUUUAAUUUGAUGAUUAUUAGACGUUGAUCUAUAUGUUAGGUUCAUUACACAUGUAUUUUUUGUAAAUAUGGAAGUUUUAAUUUGUGAGCAUCUUCAUUCCUCAAUACUUAUCAUGCUAAUGUGGCAGGUGUUACACUUAUCAUUUCGAUAUCUUUAUAUGGCUUAGUGGACCCCUUCCGUGGCCAAGCUAUUGUUUUCUGCAUUAUUGUAUUAUCGUUUGAGUUUUUUUAUUUAUUAUAAUAUUGUUAUACAAAUUUAUGUGUAUAUAUUGUUAAUUUUUGUACGAGAAAAAAAUAUACUCUGAAUAAGUAAAAAUUUCGCUAUUCA